rnacentral:rRNA from 1 species
GACGAACGCUGGCGGCGUGCUUAACACAUGCAAGUGGAGCGACGAACCAGGCUUCGGCCUGGGGCAAAGCCGCGAACGGGUGAGUAACACGUGGGUAACCUGCCCCGCUGACUGGGACAACCCGGGGAAACCCGGGCUAAUACCGGAUGUGCUUUCACCACAUCAGUGGCGAAAGUAAAGAUAGCUUCGGACUUCGCAUCGGGAUGGGCCUGCGGCCCAUUAGCUUGUUGGUGAGGUAACGGCUCACCAAGGCGACGAUGGGUAGCUGGUCUGAGAGGACGAUCAGCCACACUGGGACUGAGACACGGCCCAGACUCCUACGGGAGGCAGCAGUGGGGAAUCUUGCGCAAUGCGCGAAAGCGUGACGCAGCAACGCCGCGUGAGUGAAGAAGGCCUUCGGGUUGUAAAGCUCUUUCAGUUGGGACGAAGCCUGGCUGGUGAAUAGCCUGCCCAGGUGACGGUACCUUCACAAGAAGCCCCGGCUAACUACGUGCCAGCCGCCGCGGUAA